GUGGGGAAUAUUGGACAAUGGGCGAAAGCCUGAUCCAGCCAUGCCGCGUGUGUGAAGAAGGUCUUCGGAUUGUAAAGCACUUUAAGUUGGGAGGAAGGGCAGUAAGUUAAUACCUUGCUGUUUUGACGUUACCGACAGAAUAAGCACCGGCUAACUUCGUGCCAGCAGCCGCGGUAAUACGAAGGGUGCAAGCGUUAAUCGGAAUUACUGGGCGUAAAGCGCGCGUAGGUGGUGUUGUAAGUUGGAGGUGAAAUCCCCGGGCUCAACCUGGGAACUGCCUCCAAAACUGCAUGACUAGAGUACGGUAGAGGGUAGUGGAAUUUCCUGUGUAGCGGUGAAAUGCGUAGAUAUAGGAAGGAACACCAGUGGCGAAGGCGACUACCUGGACUGAUACUGACACUGAGGUGCGAAAGCGUGGGGAGCAAACAGGAUUAGAAACCCGAGUAGUCC
rnacentral:rRNA from 1 species